GUGCUAUGAUGUUUACUCACGAUGGUCUUCUGAAAAUGAAAACUGAAGUCAAUGCCAGAUGGCUUUGCUGAGCACCUGUC